AGAAUGUUUAGGACCCCGAAGACCCAGCCACCCUCUAGGCCAGAUGGCUGGGAACUCCAAGGAAGACUUCAUCUCUGGGGGUACCAGGAGACCCUUGGGAAGGAACAGAGCUAUUCCAGCUUGUCACUACAAGACAAUCAUCAGACAGACACAUAUUUUUCUGAAAGGCCAUGGGAAGGACUCUACAAUAAAAAUAACCCGUCCUGGGAGUCGGGCUGUAGCGCAGCGGGUUAAGCGCAGGUGGCGCAAAGCACAAGGACCGGCAUAAGGAUCCCGGUUCGAACCCCGGCUCCCCACCUGCAGGGGAGUCGCUUCACAGGCGGUGAAGCAGGUCUGCAGGUGUCUAUCUUUCUCUCCUCCUCUCUGUCUUCCCCUCCUCUCUCCAUUUCUCUCUGUCCUAUCCAACAACGACGACAACAACAAUAAUAACUACAACAAUAAAACAACAAGGGCAACAAAAGAAAAUAAAUAAAUAAAAUAAAUAUUUAAAAAAAAAACCCGUCCUAUGAGACAAAUCUGCAACAUGAUGAAUUGUACAAUGAAGCCCAAUGUUCUCCAGAUACUUAGGUAUUGAGGUUACAGAGAUGAAAAAGAUCACUUCCUGCCUUCAAGGAGAUGACUUGUAAAUAAAUGGACACACUGA